GAUGAACGCUGGCGGCGUGCUUAACACAUGCAAGUCGAACGAGAAGUGAAGACGGAAACCUUCGGGCGGAAGGCUUUAUUUCGAGUGGCGGACGGGUGAGUAACGCGUGGGUAACCUGCCUCAUACAGGGGGAUAACAGUUGGAAACGACUGUUAAUACCGCAUAAGACCACAGCACCGCAUGGUGCGGGGGUAAAAACUCCGGUGGUAUGAGAUUGACCCGCGUUCGAUUAGCCAGUUGGCGGGGUAACGGCCCACCAAAGCGACGAUCGAUAGCCGAUCUGAGAGGAUGACCGGCCACAUUGGGACUGAGACACGGCCCAAACUCCUACGGGAGGCAGCAGUGGGGAAUAUUGCACAAUGGGGGAAACCCUGAUGCAGCGACGCCGCGUGAGUGAAGAAGUAUUUCGGUAUGUAAAGCUCUAUCAGCAGGGAAGAAAAUGACGGUACCUGAGGAAGAAGCCCCGGCUAACUACGUG
rnacentral:rRNA from 1 species